rnacentral:rRNA from 1 species
UACGUAGGCAGCGAGCGUUGUUCGGAGUUACUGGGCGUAAAGGGUGUGUAGGCGGUUGUUUAAGUUUGGUGUGAAAUCUCCCGGGCUCAACUGGGAGGGUGCGCCGAAUACUGAGUGACUAGAGUGCGGGAGAGGAAAGUGGAAUUCCUGGUGUAGCGGUGAAAUGCGUAGAUAUCAGGAGGAACACCGGUGGUGUAGACGGCUUUCUGGACCGUAACUGACGCUGAGACACGAAAGCGUGGGUAGCAAACAGG